CGAACCACAGAUUCCCAGCAUUGAACAAUGGCCAUGGAAGAUGUAUCUGGUUGAGUUUGUUGUUUGUGUUUUUUUUCUUUUCCUUUUUCUUAAUAGAAUUCCUUCAAUUACACGUAUGUUUUCAGCAGCCGGGCCAAUCCUCCUCCUCACAGGGGUGAGGUCAGCAAACCCAGGAAGCUCUCAGAGCCAAGAAAGCCUCAGAUCCAGGAGGAAGUAGUUAUGGAUGCCCAUAGCUGAAGUGCUCUGUGUCCACUGGAAGUAAAAGGAGCAGGUUCCUGCCGAAGAAUGUACAGACGACGUGAAAUCAUGUGUGGCUACACUGAAGCUAAAGGCUGCCAGCCAACCAUAGCCAGUUGGGGAUAUAAACCUCUAAAAACCAAAACUGGGGAAAAAUGGCUCCCCAUUUUCUGAGGUACUCUUGGAGCACAAGCUGAAUGAAAACCAAUCAUCAUUGCCCUGCCUAGCAUGAAGCAGAAUGAAAAGAAGGCAGAUAAUAUUUCCUCCCCUGAACCACUCAUCCAUAUCUGCUCUAUUCAGAUAUUUGUGCCUAGGCAACUGCACCCACCCCUCUCAGCAUUUACCCACAGAUCCUCAAAACCAAGCCCUAGCACAAUCGACUCCAGUGAAAAUUAAAAAAGCUAUCCCAAACAUCUCCAAGCUUCUUUCCUCUGCAACUUCCCUCCUUCUUCUUCAUCACCAGUUAUACCACCAAAGUAUCUACAACUGCUCAGAUGCAGGCAAACUACCCUGAAAGUGCUCACAUGUAUUUCUUC
rnacentral:lncRNA from 10 species